CCGCGAGGGGAGAACGGCCCGGCCCGGAGCCGCGAGGGGGGAGCGGGCCCGGCCCGGCCCGGGGAGCGGGGAACGGUCCCGUUCCCCCCUCACGGGUCCGGGCCAGGGCCGCGCGGGGCUCCCGUGACGGCGGAGGGCGCCGGUGUCCGGGGCUGGCUCGGUGCUCUCCAGCCGGCUCGGCUGGCAGCUCGUGUGGUGAAAUCGGUCACUCGGUAACGCGGGCUCGCCCCAGGACGCCCACCGUGCUGGUUUUGCUUCACGGGGAGAAAGGCCGAGGCUCGGGGGUAAGCGAAUAUCUGUGAGGCUUCCCGCAGGUAAACACGGUGAAAUGCCAUCGUCAGGGGUUGCUCCAGAGGCGGAAGACAUUUUAGCCGAAAAACAACAUUGAUCAACCGGCUAGUUUAAAAUCGUUCCAACAUCAGACAGCUUUCCUCCAGUGGAAAUACGUGCGGGAGCUUUAAUGGGGCCAGAAAUGGAUCCAGCUGUGAGCGGUGCUCACAGAACAUCUGCCCUAGGUGCCGCCAGGAAUUUCAGCAGCUCUAGCUCAGCCCUCUAAAGCAUCUCUGGGCACCAGCUCUGCAAAGAGCCCCCGGGCCGAGCAGCAGAGCAGAGCUGGGUACCCAAACACAGCAACAGCCCCACCUGAACCCUGCCCCCAGCACGGGUGACAGCUGAAAGGUCACCGGUGUGUGCUAGAAAGUGACAGGUACGGGGUUUUCAGGGGAAAAAAAAGGUAUGUGAAGGGUUUUGCAUUGUGAGGAAGGGCAGGGUGUGAGCCCUCACAUUGCUGUGAAGUGUCACACAUGCUCUGCUGCUGAGCCCAGUUUUGCCUCAGCUCUCCAUGGCAAAAUGAGUUUCAAGUAAGCAAGGCAUUUACACAGUGACAAUGCAGGAUUCUGACAAUUUGCUUUACUUCCAAUCCUAAACAAAAAUGUAUUAGGAACCCAAAAGCAUGUUUUCACACUGCUCCAAUGCAGACACAGCCAGGAUGCCUGUAAGCACACUGAUAACCUGCAAGAGCACCACACUGCAGAGUGCAGCAUCAUUCAUAGCCUCAGGCAGCACCAGGGGACGUUCAGGUUGGACAUCAGCAAGGAUUUCUUCCCUGAAAGUGUUGUCAAGCACUGGCAUGGUGGAGGAGUCACCAUCUGUGGAGGUGUGCAAGAAACAACUGAAUGAAACACUGAGUGCUCUGCUCUGGUUGACAGGGUGGAUCCAGGUCACCCCUGUGGUCCCUUCCAGCCUGGAUUGCUGUGUGCUUCCCUGAACUCUUCCCGACAGCUGAGGGAGCAGCCAGGGGGCAGGUGAUGCUCCGCAGCAGACUUGGACACUAAUGGAAGUUCCUCAGAGAUCCUGGUAUUGAUAACCACAUAAGCUCUUUGUUCACCAUUGAAUGGCACCUGAUUUUAAUUUUUAAUUUAUAUGUAUUAUCUCAUAUAUAGAGUGUGAAGCCUCCAGAGUACAUCUAACAUGACUCUUUGAUUGUA